GAUCUCCUGCCAUGAAACACAUAUGCCGGCGGUUGGUUGAUAGUAAAGUACAACAAAUAGCGAGAUUAAAAGCAAAUACAUACAUUCAAAACGUACCAGGUAGUCCCACGGCUUCUCCGACCUUGUUCCACGCUUUAUCUUUAUAGCUCCGGUUUCGGACGAUGACGAGCGGAGCUGCUCAACGCUGAUUGGCUGACGCAACUAUGACUCACGCGUUUUUGCUGCCGGAGUUGGGAAAUUUCAACUCGCGCGUCGAGGAGCUGCGUCUGUUCGCUCAGUUCGCCCCGCGACAAACCCUCUGUUCGUGCUGCUUCAAACGCGUCUGACGCGCUGCUCGCUGGGAAAUACGCAGCGACGCAGCUUCGACGCAGCUUUGCAUUGAUUUAACAUGUAAUCUCGACGCGCGUCAAAAUUUUGACGCGUCCGGUGUGAACACACCAUUAGAGUGAGAUUUUGUCGGGGGUGACCAAUAUGUUGCCGCGCACGCAGCCACACACGUUGGUGGCUCAAGUAUCAGGAAAUUUGAAUGAAUUUGGCAUUGUACCCAUGUUGUACCCUGCAUUCUGGCCUGGCAAAGGUCUUUUACGAGACAUCUUUGCUACCUUAAAGAAUUAAAAUGUUUUUUUAAUAACUCUACUCUCAUUUACAAAAACAUGCCUAAUUCUAUUGCACAAAUGUCCUGUCUUUAUGUUAAAUUCUUUAGAAUACAUCUUGCUUAUUCAAAGUGCUGUUUGGAAAAUUCUUGAUGGGGUCCUUUUCUUUGGCCUGUAAAUAAGAAGAUAAAUGCUAUGUGAGCAGCCUUAAUAAACAAUGCUAUGAUGUUUUGA